CUCCGGUGUGGGGUUAUUCCGCCCGGCCCCGCUCCAUCGCGUUCGGUGGGUGCUGUGGGGGCACAACCAGCCGCUGUUGGUUUGAUAUCGGGGCUGCAGGAGGAGGAUGGAGGCGGAUUGUGGCGGCCGGGCUCGGCCCGCGUUAGGCCUCAACCCGCGUUAGGCCUCGGCCCGCUCCUGUGCUGCUGCCGCUGUAUGUAGUGCGGGAUCAAUGGGUGGCAGAUGAGCUUGUGCUUCAGUGCGGACACCGGCUGCCCGCGCUGUGUGGGUCUCCUUAAAGAGAUUUUUAUCCUUAAAGAGGCUUUUAUCCAGGUUGUGUGCAGGCCGCUAUAAUGUGGGAGAACUCAGCGUUGUGUGCUCAUGUAAUUAGUGGCUCUAGGAGACGCUGGGGAGGGAGAAUCCUCUCUGGGUAGGGUGUGUGUGUGAGAGCCUCUGGUCCUUCAUCUUUAUUGCCGGCUGAGCAGCCUCUUGUGCUGCUGGAAGAGUAUUAGGGCUCUCUUAGCAUUCCGUGUGCCCACACAUGAUGAAAACUAUGUUGGUAGGGACAUCUGAGAGGCUGAUGAGUACCAACAUAGCUGAGCUGGGCAUGGAGGGAGGUGAAUGGAGGGGCUGAGGCACCACGUGCUCAGUGCACAUAAUGGCUGCUGGACGCAGCGGGUGGCUACAGGCAGUUCUAAGUUCAGUGAUCGUCCUGUGCCUGUGUGAGAUGGAUCACUUACACUUCUCUCUCUUCAUUGGAUUCCAAGCAGGCCUGCUGCUGAAUAUGAAGACUUGAUGCUACUUAACAAGGGUUUGAAUAAUGCACUCACAGAAGAAACAUGACAUGGUGCUGGGAGGAGCCACAAGAUGAGUAUACAAGUCUGCCCUGCGUGGAGGUGGAAGAAUGCUUGUGCCUAGUGGAGCCAUUUACCUUUACUGAUGUUGGUGAAGAUGCUGCCUUUACAACUGAAGACUUUGAAAAAUCUUUCUUGUUAAGAGCGCUGUUGUGGAGCUGUGAGGUGAUGCAGUUGUUUGUGCUACAGGCAAAAAUUUGAGAAUGGAAGAACUGCCCAAGAUGUUGUGACAGAUACUUGCUUGAGUGAAGUUGAAGGGAAGCGCAUGUGAGAAAUAACACCAACUUUGAGGAAAGAACUUCCCUGUCUGCCACCUCACUAGGUAAGAUAACAAAGAUGAAUUCUCUCUUCUGGGAGUACUGGUAGCCACUGAUGAAACUUGAUUCUGCCAGAUGAAUUUCUGUGAUAUCACCAUUUCCGUUCCAUUCUUUCUGAGGUUACACAGCUGCUGAGAGGAACUCUUGGCAGGUGUGCCACUGUGUGCUAAGUGUGUUUUCCUGCUUUAGGUGGGGAUGCGACUUUGGAACUGUAUGAGCAAACAGAAAGGUGAGUGUAACUAUUAAUAAGAUGUAGUAGCUGGAACAAGUGAUGAUUAAAACCUUAGCUUGAACUCUCUCACUGAACAGAGAUGAAAACCUAAGGUCUGAGUUGUUCCAGUAAGCUGCUUAUACUCAUUUGGUUCCUUGUAACAAUUCUUGUGCUUUUCUUAAUAGGUGGAAGAUCCUGGGAUAAUGGGUUGUGCGUGCAUGAAUGGCAUUAAAAUGAGACUUUGUGGUGUUAAUAUUUGCCUCAUACACUGAUUGCAGCCAAUAAAACAUUGUGAACUCUG